GGAAGGUAUAGCUCAGUGGUAGAGUGUGUGCUUAGCAUGCACAAGGUCCUGGGUUCAAUCCUCAGUACCUCCA
rnacentral:tRNA from 1 species